GACGAACGCUGGCGGCGUGCUUAACACAUGCAAGUCGUACGGUAAGGCCCUUUCGGGGGUACACGAGUGGCGAACGGGUGAGUAACACGUGAGUAACCUGCCCACAACUUUGGGAUAACGCUAGGAAACUGGUGCUAAUACUGGAUAUGUGCUCCUGCUGCAUGGUGGGGGUUGGAAAGCUCCGGCGGUUGUGGAUGGACUCGCGGCCUAUCAGCUUGUUGGUGGGGUAGUGGCCUACCAAGGCGGCGACGGGUAGCCGGCCUGAGAGGGUGACCGGCCACAUUGAGACUGAGAUACGGCCCAGACUCCUACGGGAGGCAGCAGUGGGGAAUAUUGCACAAUGGGCGCAAGCCUGAUGCAGCAACGCCGCGUGCGGGAUGACGGCCUUCGGGUUGUAAACCGCUUUCAGCAGGGACGAAGCUUUUUGUGACGGUACCUGCAGAAGAAGCACCGGCUAACUACGUG
rnacentral:rRNA from 1 species